UAGGGUCUAGUUCAGUGGUAGAGCAUGUGCUUAGCAUGCAUAAAGUCCUGGGUUCAAUCCCCAGGACCUUCA
rnacentral:tRNA from 1 species